UGGCUCUUCAUAUUCCAAGCUUUUUAAAUAAGAAAAGAAAAAAUUCAAUUAAUUUUAAAAAAAUAAUGGGACCCACACUCUCAAAUUAAGGGAGUUACAUCACAUCAGCUUAAGGAUAUGAAAAUUUAUAGAUUUAUAUAGAUUUAAAAUAAGGAGAAGAACAUGUUUAUGGAAAAGUGAAAAAUCACUAGGUGGGCCCCACGUCAUAAUGAUGGA
rnacentral:lncRNA from 1 species